AUUGAACGCUGGCGGCAUGCCUUACACAUGCAAGUCGAACGGUAACGCGGGGCAACCUGGCGACGAGUGGCGAACGGGUGAGUAAUACAUCGGAACGUGCCCAGUAGUGGGGGAUAGCCCGGCGAAAGCCGGAUUAAUACCGCAUACGACCUGAGGGUGAAAGCGGGGGAUCGCAAGACCUCGCGCUAUUGGAGCGGCCGAUGUCAGAUUAGGUAGUUGGUGGGGUAAAGGCCUACCAAGCCGACGAUCUGUAGCUGGUCUGAGAGGACGACCAGCCACACUGGGACUGAGACACGGCCCAGACUCCUACGGGAGGCAGCAGUGGGGAAUUUUGGACAAUGGGCGCAAGCCUGAUCCAGCCAUGCCGCGUGCGGGAAGAAGGCCUUCGGGUUGUAAACCGCUUUUGUCAGGGAAGAAACGCUCUGGGUUAAUACCCUGGGGUAAUGACGGUACCUGAAGAAUAAGCACCGGCUAACUACGUGCCAGCCGCCGCCGUAACAC
rnacentral:rRNA from 1 species